AAUAUUGUUUUUCGCCGAAUAAAAAUGGGAAUUCUGAGAUUUUUGCGCAUCGCAAUUAUGGCUGUAACUAUCACCCUCAUUGCUGAGUUUGGGCUUCGCCUUGCGUUAUCGUAAUUUAUUUGCAUUAGACAUGAAAAGCAAACGCAUAAAAACCAGAUGGAGGAAAAAUAUUCACGAUUCUGGAGUUAAGUAGACGGAAGCGCUGAUGGUAUAUAAGAAUUCCGUAGCAGUGAAACUACAUUGUCCGCAGGAUGACAGGUCUUUCCAGAAUUUUCCUCUUCGCAAUCAUUUUCGCCAUCAUAUUGGUCAUCCGAGCGCAACGAGGAUGUCCAUCUUGUGGAAUCCUUUGUCCUGGAGGAAUUGAACAACCGGCUUAUCGAGGUGACUGUUCAUGCCGAUGCUCACCACAAUUUUGAUUUGCACAGGUUCUGAUGGAAAACUCCAUUUACUGACCGCACCGCAUUCUCAGAAAAUGGCGUUUCUCGCACGCCAGUUUAUUGAUUCAGAUUAUUUAUCAACAAUAUCUAUUGAUUGAUAUAUUAUCGAGAUAUCUAUUGAUUGAUAUAAUAUUGAAAUAUCUAUUGAUUCAAUAUUUAUUACUCCAUUAAGCUAGUCUUGGUAUUAGUUGGAAUAAAAAAAAUGUUGUUUAUAUCUUAGAAGAUCGUGUUCUAUAAAUCUGUUGUUGUUCAUAACUCAGUCGUCAGGAUGUUAUUUCAAGUACAUUAAUCGGCCGGUUUUGUCGUGAUGUAUUUGGAUUAGAUAUGAGAAGAAAAGCAGAAAAAGCGACACUCCCUACUCCGCAUGCAGAUGCAUUUGUAUAUAAAGAUAUGUUUGGAUUGUCUGAUGAUACAUUGCAUUAUGUUCUUGGAGUUCAGUCUUUUCAAAGUGUUUUUGGUUCUCGCAAUGGUCUUGCUUCUAUUUUCACUCAUUGAAGCGCAAAACUGUCCAGCAUGCGGAAAUACCUGUCCGAGAGGUCAAAAUCCGCCAGUUAGAAGAGGCGAAUGUCCACCCUGCAAUGCCGGAUGUCUAUCCUGAGGAAUUCCCUUGAUCCCUAAAACAGUAAUCAGAAAAACUUUCCGGAAAAAUCGAUACUGAGAGGAUGAUCAACUGAGGCAUUCCCGAAGCCGCCAGCUGUCGUAAUUAAAGUCAUGCACUCGGUCAUCCCAAUGGUCCCUAAAUUUUCAUGACAUUCAUUUUUAUACCCUGAUCGGCCAUUUGCUGGCUCUUAUGGGCACUCACCAUCAUCAAGCGCGCCAAUUUUGGCAUCCAAUGAGCUUCACUCGAUCAUCAUUAAAUUUCCUGUGUACAACCACUUGAAAUUCAUUGUUAAUCUCGUUAAAACGCCUGAAAAAACAUUUGAAUUUGACCCAAUUCCCCUGAUGCUCGAAUUAUGUUAAUGAGAUGUCGCGCCAAUAAUUCCGUGGAAAUAAACAUGUUAUUCCUCCCCUGA